rnacentral:rRNA from 1 species
CCUACGGGAGGCAGCAGUGAGGAAUCUUCGUCAAUGGACGAGAGUCUGAACCAGCCAAGUAGCGUGAAGGAUGACUGCCCUAUGGGUUGUAAACUUCUUUUAUAUGGGAAUAAAAUGUUCCACGUGUGGGAUUUUGUAUGUACCAUAUGAAUAAGGAUCGGCUAACUCCGUGCCAGCAGCCGCGGUAAUGGGGAGGGUCCGAGCGUUAUCCGGAUUUAUUGGGUUUAAAGGGAGCGUAGGUGGAGUGUUAAGUCAGUUGUGAAAGUUUGCGGCUCAACCGUAAAAUUGCAGUUGAAACUGGCAGUCUUGAGUACAGUAGAGGUGGGCGGAAUUCGUGGUGUAGCGGUGAAAUGCUUAGAUAUCACGAAGAACUCCGAUUGCGAAGGCAGUUCACUGGACUGCAACUGACACUGAGGCUCGAAAGUGUGGGUAUCAAACAGGAUUAGAUACCCCUGUAGUC